AUACGGAGGAUCCGAGCGUUAUCCGGAUUUAUUGGGUUUAAAGGGUGCGCAGGCGGCCAUUUAAGUCAGCGGUUAAAUCGUGGGGCUCAACCCCAUUCUGCCGUUGAUACUGGGUGGCUUGAUUGCGGUCGAGGUUGGCGGAAUUCGUUGUGUAGCGGUGAAAUGCAUAGAUAUGACGAAGAACACCGAUUGCGUAGGCAGCUGACCAGAACGCAAAUGACGCUCAUGCACGAAAGUGCGGGGAUAGAACAGGAUUAGAUACCCUGGUAGUCCGCACAGUAAACGAUGAAUACUUGUUUUCGGCGAUAUAAUGUCGGAGGCAAAGCGAAAGCGAUAAGUAUUCCACCUGGGGAGUACGCCGGCAACGGUGAAACUCAAAGGAAUUGACGGGG
rnacentral:rRNA from 1 species